AAAGAAUUAAAAAAUUUUACAUAUAUACACAUAUCAUACAUGUGUGUGUAUAUAUAUAUAUAUAUAUAUAUACACACACACAUAUAUGAUGUGCUAAAUGCAAUUUACCAAUGGCAUUAGUUGCCUUACUUAGUAUACUUUUUCAUCGCGAGAUAGUGUUUGAAUAUAUUAGCACCAUUUUUGAUUCGAAAUGACAUAAUUAAAAUCUUCGCUUCCUUGUACCAGUUUGUUUCUUUAGCAUUAAUAUGUUCGUGUUUAAGUAAAUUUCUCUAAUUAUACCUUUACAAGGAUUUAACCUAUAAAUUUUCAUAAUCGCAAUUUUUGUUCGAUUUUGACGAUCAAGGAUUCAUUUCAAAGAUAAAGGUUUUUUUUUUUUUUUUUUUUUACAGGAAAUUAUCUUUUCAGAUUUUCUAAAAAAUAUUAUCUUCUUUGCAAAAAUCAUAUCUAAAAAGUAUAUAAUUUUCACGCAGAAGAAAAGCCUUCGACAAUUUGAAAAUCGGAAACAAUGAUCUAGUGUAAAAAAAAAAAAAAAAAAAUCUAUAUCUUUCGAUAUAAAUCAUUGAUCAUCAAAAUCAGAGAAAAAUUGUCAAAAGAAUUUAUGAAUGUAUAAUAAACAUUUGCAACAAGUUCGAUGGAAUUAAGAAAAUUCAGAAUCAAAACCCGAAUUUAUGGAAUAUCUUGUAUAUACAAAAUAAUAAAUGUAUAAAGGGAAAUCAGGUAAACUGGCCAGAAUGGACGAAGUGAUCAUGUAUAUGUAUAUCCUUUUGCAAUAAUUAUAGGUUCAAUGUAUCAAUGUAAAUAAACAUCAAUAAUAUUAA